rnacentral:rRNA from 1 species
AACGAACGCUGGCGGCAUGCCUAACACAUGCAAGUCGAACGAGACCUUCGGGUCUAGUGGCGCACGGGUGCGUAACGCGUGGGAAUCUGCCCUUGGGUUCGGAAUAACAGUGAGAAAUUACUGCUAAUACCGGAUGAUGUCUUCGGACCAAAGAUUUAUCGCCCAGGGAUGAGCCCGCGUAGGAUUAGCUAGUUGGUGGGGUAAUGGCCUACCACGGCGACGAUCCUUAGCUGGUCUGAGAGGAUGAUCAGCCACACUGGGACUGAGACACGGCCCAGACUCCUACGGGAGGCAGCAGUGGGGAAUAUUGGACAAUGGGCGCAAGCCUGAUCCAGCAAUGCCGCGUGAGUGAUGAAGGCCUUAGGGUUGUAAAGCUCUUUUACCCGGGAUGAUAAUGACAGUACCGGGAGAAUAAGCUCCGGCUAACUCCGUG